rnacentral:tRNA from 1 species
UGUGGCGUAGCUCAGUGCUAGAGUGCUUGUCUAGCAUGUACCAGGUCUUGGGUUUGAUCCCCAACACUGCAA